GUCGCGAUGGCGGAAUUGGUAGACGCGUUAGCUUCAGGAGCUAAUCUUCACAAGAAGGUGGGAGUUCAAGUCUCCCUCGCGACA
rnacentral:tRNA from 1 species